GUUUAACACUCAGAUUUCACCUCCUCCGGGGGCUGACCCGGAUCUCCUAGGCGGAGAUCUUUGAGGUUCCAAAGUACUUGGCCCAAAAGUUAUCCAAGUGUUCUGACGUCAUCGUGCAACCCAAUCAGUGAAGGAUCCUGUCUGGAUAUGCAUUGUCCUAGGCCCACCCACAAACGUUUGGAUUAAAGAUCUGAGACAGGACCCAAAGUUUGAAUUUUUAACAAGAGUGCUUCCCAACCCCCAAAUUGUUCCCAUGUCACGCUGCUGUAUCUCCCCUCACCCACCGAGACUGGGUGCAUCUUGAAGGGAGAGAUGAUAUAUUACUCAUUCGGUGCCCACCACAGGCCCUGCCCAGAACGCAUGCUUAAGGCAUGAAAGAUGGAUGCAUAGAAGCCAAUACAUGAAUUAGUGAACAAACGAAUGAACCCGCCCUCUCCACGUCUGUCCCACCCAUCCAACUCCAGUGACCUGUCCUCCUCAGCCUGACCACCUCUCUUUCUUACAGGGUCGAGGCUCUUUGUGCACCCUCCCAACCGAGUCUUGCAGCUGCAGGUGUGUACACAUGUUCCAGUUCCUCUCCCCAGGGAGAGCAGGAGGUCCACUGGCCAACACUUAUUAAGCACCUGGUGGUUACUGCAACCUGUUCUUCAGAAAGAGGAUGGUGCAAACCGAGAACAAGUAAGAUGUGGAUGCAGAAAGUUAGGAGAUCCAGUAGAAGAGAGAAGUGCAGUUGGUGGCCAGGCCCGCACUAGGUGAUGUUGAAGCCACAGAAGACAGGGCAGUGGGAAAAGCAGCAGGAGCCGCUGCCCUGAGGAGCCUCCAAGCCCAGGCAGAGGGCCAGCCGCACAGAUGGUGUUGGAACCGAACUAGAGGACACCUGGCUGAUGUCCACUGCUUGGUGUGUGUGGCAAAACCCUCCACACAUUUGGUCACAGAAGUCUUCUGGGUUGAUAAUUUUCUGUGGCGUGAGAGCAGAGGGAAGACACAGUUUGAGCCCAGAUUUCAGAACCAAAGCUCAUCACAAGGAAGCAACCUGCAAACCCAACAUUUUCUAAGAUAG
rnacentral:lncRNA from 1 species